rnacentral:misc_RNA from 1 species
AUACUUUGCCUUGUUGAUUUUAUCUUGUUUAACAAUCUAUUAACAGCUAAGGUCAUUUAAGGACGUGAAGAACAAGGUAGCAAGCAUCUCAGGGAUAUUGGGACCUCAGAGAACCAACUCUAAUUCUACAUUACAAUUUCAUAGUCAAAUGCAAUUUCAGGCUUAAGGAUAUAUGCUACCUUUGUGAUAUGCAUCAAAAAGAGUUCUACACUAAAGAAUCUGCAAAAUUGGCCCUUCUGAAAGGUGCGCAUAAUUGAUGCCAUUUUAAAAGGUAGACAGGAAUUAAUGACACAUUUAGAAAAGAACUCUGGUAUUGAUGACAAACUUAAAAAAUACACAAGAAUCAAUGACAUAUUUGAAAGGUACACAAGCAUUAAUGACCUAAUUAUAGGUACACAAGAAUUGAUGACAUAUAUGUAAAUUGCACAACAAAGAAGAUUUGAUAAGGGAUUAGUAAUUUUGAAUCAUAUAAGUUGGUACCACUUAAAUAUACCUGAAGUAUACAUUGUAACUAGUAAUGUAAGAAAAUAGUUUCAGAGCUGUCACAACGUUAAACAUCUGUCACCAGGUUCAACAAAUGCCGUUAAAUAUCACAAUUCUUUGACAAGAACAACACCGUACCCAGACAGAAUGGGAAGAUGGCUUCACAUUUAAGAUGUCCCUGUUCCAGUUUGUCAACUACUAUUCCUCCAUCUUCUAUAUUGCAUUCUUCAAGGGCAAAAAACUGAUGAUAUGGUUUAAGUCUCGGUCAGUGACUAAGGACCCGAACGAGGAGAAAGUGUACUCGAGGUGGGAACAGGACUUUCAUCAGGCCGACAUACCCAACAUUGGACUAUAUGAUGAAGAUCUUGAAAUAGUAUGGAUUUGUCACCAUUUCUGUGGCUGCUUUUCCAUUAGCUCCUGUGUUUGCUCUUAUCAACAACAUUUUUGAGAUCCGAUUGGAUCCUUA